rnacentral:rRNA from 1 species
UACGUAGGUGGCAAGCGUUAUCCGGAAUUAUUGGGCGUAAAGAGUGAGCAGGCGGUACGGUAAGUUUGAAGUGAAAGCGUGGGGCUUAACCCCAUACAGCUUCGAAAACUGCCGAACUAGAGUACGGGAGAGGUAAACGGAACUCCAUGUGUAGCGGUGAAUGCGUAGAUAUAUGGAAGAACACCAGUGGCGAAGGCGGCUUACUAGCCCGAUACUGACGCUCAGUCACGAAAGCGUGGGGAGCAAAUAG